UACGUAGGGACCAAGCGUUGUUCGGAUUCAUUGGGCGUAAAGGGCGCGUAGGCGGCUUAACAAGUCACUUGUGAAAUCUCCGGGCUUAACUCGGAACGGCCAAGUGAAACUGUUAUGCUAGAGUGCAGAAGGGGCAAUCGGAAUUCUUGGUGUAGCGGUGAAAUGCGUAGAUAUCAAGAGGAACACCUGAGGUGAAGACGGGUUGCUGGGCUGACACUGACGCUGAUGCGCGAAAGCCAGGGGAGCAAACGGG
rnacentral:rRNA from 1 species